rnacentral:SRP_RNA from 1 species
AGGCAGCCCUCUCGUACUUAGGCUUAGUUUAAUUGGUCAGGAUCGGAAGGUAGCAGCCAGGAUUAGGUUUUAAGGUACCGAGAACAGGUUGUCUGUU